AUAGAAAUAAAAUGUGAACGAGCUUGACAAUGUUUUUUAUCUUUAGGAAGGAGGAUUUGAUUUGGAUAUGACAUAUAUCACUGAGAACAUCAUUGCUGUGGGUUUCUCUGCUGGGGAUAUGAGCUCUGGUUUCUUUGGAUAUGUAGCGAGGUUCUAUCGCAAUCAUAUGGAAGAAGUGAUUAAAUUUUUUGAAACCCAUCACAAGGUAGGUAAUUUAUCAAAAGUUUAUCUGACGGUCGUAUCAGAGGCAAAUCAUGUUCUUAGGUUUAUGUUAUUUCAGUUUUCAAUUAUAUCAGGCAUUUUUUUCAGUCAUGGUGUAAAAUAUGCAUCGUUGUCUCUAAUUUGGAGGAGUUGGACUUCUUAACUCUUUGCUGAGAUGGUGUGCAUUUAUUGUAUUGGAGAAUGCUGGUAGACUACCAAAUCGGGAAUGGAGAGUAGAUUCUUUCAUGCUUUCA